AUCAAACGUUUUUAAAAGCAAACUUUUUUUGUAGGCUAAUUUCACUUCAUUUUCUUAUCAUAAAAAAAAUGAAAGAAUAAAUUUGUCAACGAUGACAAUUAAUAAAUUUUGGUGAAUAUAAUUUUAAGUAAAAACGGUUUCGGUUUGUGAAAACGAAGAAUAGACAAAAUUUUUAAUAUGGUUCUUACUUGAAACUAGAGUUCAGUUCGGUUUGGGUUUGCCGCACGGUCAAUGGGCGGUUUUCUUGCGUAGGCGUAUUGUGAGGAGUCCCUAGACCGCCAGCCGCCGCUCCCCCCUUUUUCUUCAAGGCCGAUUUCAACGGCAUCGCGUUGAACUUGGGCUCCUUGGCCGGAAUCUCGUCUAUCCGCGUGGUAUCGAUCGUCGGAUCCGGUCUGGGCAUUCUAAAUAUGCACAUAUCCGAAUUUUCCAGGUCAUCCUCGUUGAUUUCGGCGUCUUCCUCAUCGUCAUCCUGAUCUACAAAACAAAUUAAUCUCUUAUUAUCAAAAACGAAAUUUUUUUUCUGUUUUGGUUUGCUAAGAAAUGCCUAAAGAAGCUUUUGGAUGUUAAUUAUCAGGAGCGAUUUUAAUAUUCGUCUCAAUUCAGAGGUAUGUGAUCGUGUGAAGCAAAUCCUGCUGAAGCUUAUCCUUCCGGUUGGCAGAUCGGUGGUAUCGUUAUUUAAUGGUUGGGAUAACGAGAGUGAUGACUCGGAGGAAAGCACCGAGUCUGAUAUUUCACGUCAUUCCAACGAAUGCACGCAUUUGCGAUGGAGCGAAAUUUACCUGCUUUAUCACAACGCUCAUUUCAACGAUGAAAGCGCUGCCAAUACGGAUAUGGACGAGUGCUCGGCAAAGAGAAGUCUUCAAGUUAUUAGAAAACAUUAAUCAUUUUUGUACAAAUAUGUGUUCGUCUGUUGUCUUUUUUAAUAAAAUAAAUUUAUUGUACUAGAAAA